GGAGAGGUGGCUGAGUGGCUCAAAGCAUCCUCCUGCUAAGAGGAAACGGGUUUUAAAAACCCGUCGCAGGUUCAAAUCCUGUCCUCUCCGCC
rnacentral:tRNA from 2 species